rnacentral:rRNA from 1 species
GGACGCUUUUGGCGCGGUGCCUUCCAAGUUCCCUGGAAUGGGACGCCACAGAGGGUGAGAGCCCCCUACGGUCGGACACCAAGCCUCUGUAAAGCUCCUUCGACGAGUCGAGUAGUUUGGGAAUGCUGCUCUAAAUGGGAGGUAUAUCUCUUCUAAAGCUAAAUAUAGGCCAGAGACCGAUAGCGCACAAGUAGAGUGAUCGAAAGAUGAAAAGCACUUUGAAAAGAGGGUUAAAAAGUACGUGAAAUUGUUGAAAGGGAAGGGCUUGUGACCAGACUUGUGCCGGGCUGAUCAUCCACGGUUCUCCGUGGUGCACUCUGCCCGGCCCAGGCCAGCGUCGGUUCUGGGACGGGGACAAAAGCUUGGGGAACGUGGCUCCUCCGGGAGUGUUAUAGCCCCUUGCCCAAUGCCCGUGCCGGGACCGAGGUUCGCGCUCCGUGCAAGGACGCUGGCAUAAUGGUCAUCAGCCACCCGUCUU